UGGCAGCCCUCUAAUAUUUUUCCUCAGGGAUGUUAAGCUUAGCUGAAAAAUCGUUAAACAUCGCCAUGGCAUCUACCACUGCAUUAGAGAGUCGACUUGACACUCCAGCACGAGAUGGGCCUUUCCCUAAGUUGGUUUGCAUGCGAUCAAAUUGUCUCCUCAUCUCAUCUUCGACCACUCACCCGACAUUUUCUCAAUUUUAACUUCGUUACCUCAUGAAAAACGAUUGCUGUGCCGUGAGGACUCGAGGGGUGAUUCUCACCUCAUUCUUCAUGCCAUCAACCAAAAUCCUCACCGAUAUGCCAUCAACUCUCUCUUCAGAUCUCCAUCUCCUCUCUCUCUCAGAUUUGGUACUCAUCUCUACAGAUCUCUCAUCUCCUCUCUUCUGACUUAGGGUUAGGGUGUCGUUUGGGGUUGUUCUGAGGAGGUGUUUAGCAACUUUGUGGACCAUAAGUUCCAAGAGCUCGAUAGGGAUAGAAAUUGUAAGCUCUCUGUGAAGGAACUUCAGCCUGCUGUCUUUUAUUGGUGUUGCUUUGGGUUUGCCUGCGCAGGACACUUCUCUUGAUUCCGAUCACAUUUAUUCUGAGCCCUGUCUCCGUCCAUCAUAGAUGUCAGAGAUUUCAACAUCCUCAUCCGCUCACAUCCAAGGCUCGACGUGCACAUGCUAUUGUGGCUUGACGUCUUACAUGAAAACAUCGUGGAUAAAGACAAACCCAGGAAGACGGUACUAUGAUUGCCCAAACUUUAAGUUCGAAACCCACUGCAAGUUUUUUGAAUGGGUUGACAAAGAAAUAGAUACACAUAGCCGAACAAUCAUACCAGAGUUGCGGACAAAGAAUAUCUGGUUGGAAAGCGAACCGCGUAAACGAUAGUCGGUUAUAUUUGGAACUAAAGAAUUACGGGGCUUAUGCGUCGGACUUGUGGUAAUUCUGAUUUGUAUUCUUAUAUCACCUAGAGGUGUUAAUCAAGAGAUGUUGCCCUUUUAGGUAUAGGUUUUAUGGCACUUUUAAAUUUUGUAUAAUAUUAAAUUAUUAAUCAUUUUGUAAUGCUACUAUCUCAAAUUUGUGCCCCUGGUUCUUGUUAAAUUACUGUGACAAUGGUAAACCUUGAACAUAUUGUAAUGCUACUAUAAGGUUAUUUAGGCUGUUGUGUCCAUUA